AAGUCGUAACAAGGUUUCUGUAGGUGAACCUGCAGAAGGAUCAUUAGUGAAGAUUCAAGGGCCAGCCAUACAGACGUACAAUAAGUGUGUCUCUGGCGGCUCGCAUCCACUAUACAUCCAUAAACCCGUGUGCACUGUUCUAAGGGAGUUAAGAAAAGAAAGAAGGGGGAAUGGGGAGAGAGAGUGCAUUGUGCUUUGCAUAGAAACUCUUCUCUCACUCUCCACUCUCUUUUCUCUCUCCGGGUUAAAUUUACAAAAACUCGGUAUGGAUUUUGGUAUGAAACGUGAGAUAUAUCGUUGGGACCCGUCACUGGGCCCAAACAAAAUUAUAACAC
rnacentral:misc_RNA from 1 species